UACGUAGGGACCAAGCGUUGUUCGGAUUUACUGGGCGUAAAGGGCUCGUAGGCGGCCAACUAAGUCAUACGUGAAAUCCCUCAGCUUAACUGGGGAACUGCGUGUGAUACUGGAUGGCUUGGAUUUGGGAGAGGGAUGCGGAAUUCCAGGUGUAGCGGUGAAAUGCGUAGAUAUCUGGAGGAACACCGGUGGCGAAGGCGGCAUCCUGGACCAAUAUUGACGCUGAGGAGCGAAAGCCAGGGGAGCAAAGCGGG
rnacentral:rRNA from 1 species